ensembl:lncRNA
AUGAUGGUUGUGCAUGUAGGAGACCUAGCCUUCUGUCACCAAGGAAACAGAAAGCAGAGGAGGAAUGUGACCGUGGGAGGCUGCAGGCAAAAGUGAUGUGGGGCCACAACUGUACCUGGAAGCUACAUGCCUUGCUUCCCAGUCCUGAGACUUGAAGAGCACAGAGGAAGGCCUCUUGUAGGUCAGUCACUGGCUCUGGACCAUUGACCACUACCACUGCUUUUACUUGGGAUGGUGUUCAAAUUGUGGGAUGUCUGAGAAAGCUGGGUUCCACGUUUUUGCUAUGCAACCUGUUCCUCACGUCCUGGACUUUGCCGGCUCCAGUCCUCAGUUGCCAUUCAGUAAGCAUUGUGACGUGUAAGGCUCUCAGGAGAAGCCAGAUCCCAGUGGCAUUAGUGUGACAAACAAGCUGUGCCCAAGGAGCUGACACUCUGGCAGAGUCCAGGACAUCCAGGAAGACAGAGGUGGUGAGAUAUCACCAACUAUGACUCUGACAUCCAAUGAAGCAGUCGAGGGCCAUGAUGCUUUUCUGACUGAGGCAACACAGCCUGGAGCCCAAAUCCCGAGGCUGUGCACCAAAGUCCUUCCGUUUGUCACUGAUCCUGGUGCUUUCCCACAAGAAGUUGCUCAAUGUGGCUACCAGGGAGGCCAAACAUAAGCCUGUGUCUGCAGACAGGAGGGCACCAACAAUGUGUCAAGCAACCUCAUCUGCAUCGUCACAAGCAUCUGCAGUGUGGAUAUCUGGUCAACAUGGUCGUUUGACAGUUGUGGAG